UACGAAGGGUGCAAACGUUGCUCGGAAUCAUUGGGCGUAAAGCGCACGUAGGCGGCCUCAAAAGUCGGAUGUGAAAUCCCGUGGCUCAACCAUGGACGUGCAUUCGAAACUGCGAGGCUUGAGUAUGGAAGAGGGUCGCGGAAUUCCCGGAUGUAGAGGUGAAAUUCGUAGAUAUCGGGAGGAACACCAGUGGCGAAGGCGGCGACCUGGGCCAAUACUGACGCUGAGGUGCGAAAGCGUGGGGAGCAAACAG
rnacentral:rRNA from 1 species